UACUGUACUGUUAAUGUUACUUUACUAUACUACCAGCUAGCACAGGUCAACAACAGCUUGUCUGUCAGUUACUAGUUUGACAGCUGGGUGUUUCUGAAGAGAUCUUUCUUAUUUUUUGAAAGCUCCUUCCUCCUCUGACACCCAACUCCUCUCACUCACUCUAUCUAUCUCUCUCUCUCUCUCUCUCUCUCUCUCUAUCUCUCCAUGUCAGAGGUGGUGUUCAGGGGAUGGGCAUUUGCCUACACAUCCUCAUUUCUCUGUAGUGACCUCAGUGUCUCCAGGUCUAUAUGUGCUGCAGAGUGAAACUGGUUCAAUCAGGCCGGAGGUUAGACUUCUAAACCACCAGACAACUCAGCUUCCUGUAGGUGACUAAGUCUUAAAACUGUCAACUUCACUGUUCUAAAGUUACCAUGUCUAUUUCAGCAGACGAGGAACACAUUGUUGAGAUGAUGACAAUAUAUGCAUCAGGUAUACAUCACUAUAUUGUAUUAAAUUGAUCCACAUAUAUUUACUGUGAUUGAAAAAGUAUGCUCCAAAAUUGAUUUCCAAGUACAAAUGUUACAGAGACUAACACUUCGCUAACACUAUCCUGUCUCAGUGUGAAGUUAAUGGUGCCAUCAUUUUAGUUUGGGUCUGUUGUGUUUUGGGUUUGAAUGGUGAAGUCAUGGGUUGUUGUAUUGAGGGUUUGGUAGGUGGAGUCUUGGGUUGCUGUGUUGAGGGUUUGGUAGGUGGAGUCUUGGGUUGCUGUGUUGAGGGUUUGGUAGGUGGAGUCUUGGGUUGCUGGGUUGAGGGUUUGAUAGGUGGAGUCUUGGGUUGUUGUGUUGAGGGUUUGGUAGGUGGAGUCUUGGGUUGUUGUGUUGAGGGUUUGGUAGGUGGAGUCUUGGGUUGUUGUGUUGAGGGUUUGGUAGGUGGAGUCUUGGGUUGCUGUGUUGAGGGUUUGGUAGGUGGAGUCUUGAGUUGUUGUGUCUGGAUUGGUGACUGGU
rnacentral:lncRNA from 1 species